UACGACCACCUCAGAUUGAAACAUUGGUUCCCGUACGAUUCCCGAAGUUAAGUAAUUUCAAACUUGGGCUGUACUUAGAUGGGUGACCGCUUGGGAACACCAGAUGUUGUAAG